UUCAUGAAAAGUGGAGAAGGAGCUGCAGAGUAUCAUAAACAUGUUGCUAAAUUAAGAAAGGAAAAGAGGAUCAAUCACAAGAUGCUGUGGCUAGCAUGUGACAGUAUCGAUAUGAAAUGGAUCCGGGAUGGAUGUGCUAAGCGGAUCUUAUGUCAAACCUUUGAUCAUCAUCAUCAUCCUAGGGAAACAGUUUUGCCCGGUAUGAUUGGAUGCACAUUUUUGAAUAGAGAAAGAACGGUGGUCGUUUUCUCUUGGUUGAGUUCUCACAUUGCUCCACCUAAUGCCUUUUUCUUUCAAGUGGUGUCACAACAAAAGUGACACAAUCGCGGAACAUUGAGAUCCGUACUGAAUGAAUAGAAGCCUAAUGUGCCUCGUAGAUAUUUGCUGGCUAUACGGUCGGGAUACUCUUCAUAACUAAUCGGGUUUUGUUUGUUCCAAUGAAGAAUGGCUCCAUUUGAGUUAUGAAUCUUUUCUGGAAGGCGAAUGUAUCCCUCUGAUCUCAAAGGAACUAAACCAACUGAUGGAUGGUAUUCGAGCCCUGGCUGUCCUUCCACCGGAUCUGCCUGUACCCGAAGAGCAAGAAGAACGAGUUUCAUUCGCAAACUUUUACAGGCAGCUGAGCAUUUAUCAGCAGUCAUUGUUCAGUUCUUCAUGUUUUAGUCUCGACAAUGAUGGUAACAUCGAUGACAACAAUGUCUUUCCCAUUCUUAUUAUAGAGAUUUUUCAAUCA